rnacentral:lncRNA from 1 species
CUGUGUCGAUCGAAUUCAUACACUCCUUUUUGCAUGAGGAUAGGCAUUAUUUCGAGAACUGUUGUUGUUGAAAACUGAGGUUUGAGCAUUUGAUCAUUAGCAAGUAGCUUCUUUUCUGUUGGCAGCGACGGAGCUAGCGCACGAGAGCACGUCCGACGGCAAACUCGGAGCACAAUUCCUCGGCCGAUGAAGACUCCCAAUUAAGACUCCGACUCAAAAGAAAACUCCAGAGAAUCGCACUUCAUUCACCAACGAACAAUAGACAGUCUUGAAAAAGAAUUUGAGAGAACUCACUAUCCCGAUGUGUUUGCCCGGGAACGGUUAGCAGAAAAAAUUGGAGGCCCGAAGCGAAGCUAGGAUACAGGUAUGGUUUAGCAACAGGAGAGCGAAAUGGCGGAGAGAGGAGAAGCUGAGGAACCAACGUCGUGGUGGCUCGGUGGUUGACCCCUCGCCGACCCCCGCCUCAACCAGCCCCCAGCUCCCUCUAGUCGUCUCCCCCUAAACACCGGUUUCAACUCCAUGUACUCGUCGAUACCCCAACCCAUGGCGACCAUGGCCGAAACCUACAGCUCAAUGACAGGGAGUUUGAGUAUGAGCGGGAGCUGUUUGCAGGCAGGCCGCGCGCGACCACCACAGCUACCCGUACAUGUUCCACGACCCGUUGCACUCGCUUAGCUCCUCUUACGGACACUCGCGAGGCAUCGGGCACUCACAGAGCGGAGUCAACGCCCACUCGCCUUACUCCACGGCCGCGUCCGUCAACAGCACGCCCGGAACCGGCACUGGUGUUAUCUCGGCCGGCGUGUCGGUGCCGGUGCAAAUCCCGAGCCAAAGCGACCACCACGCCAGUUUGGCCUCCAACUACAGCCACUGGUCGCGGCUCCAGUGAUCGCAGCUUUUUGGGUUUCCUGCCUCCUUCGCCCAGCACAGCAAAUUCCCCCCCAACCCCACCCCGCCCACCUCCCUGUCACCGCCUUGUCCGCCUCCUCUACCCCCUCGCCGCAGCCCUCCAAGGAACCCAAAAUUUCGGUUCGCAAGGUGUACAAUAAAAUUCGUAAAUAUGUAAGUCGUUUUGAUCUCAGCCUAAUUAGCACUUUCAACCCCCCCCCCCCCCUCCGCAGGACAUAAUUUGAGAAUACAUCAUUGGCAGCGCAAAAAUUAUUAUUUAACACGCUACAAACGUCGAUAUUCGACCGUUUUAAAAUAUAGAUUGCUAUAUUAAAACGUCACUACUAAUGCCACGGUUGACAAAUCCAGACGUAACACUGCGAAAAGGGAAGACCAUUUGGACUAUAUUUUGCGGUUCAUGUCAUUCGUUCUUUGCCUCAUUUUAGAAACGACGUAUAUGUCAUUACUUUCCCCGUACAAAUAAUUGAAUUCACAGAAAGGUAGCAGUCCAUGUGGACUUCAUUUUCUAAUAAGAAAGUAUGAUCACUGGCUCAUCUAUAGAAGCACCAUUUCCAUGAAAUUCCAGGAAAUUCAUGGCACAUACGUUAUUUCCGACAAAAGGCAGAUAAAGUAAUUCCUCGUUGCAAAAUGAGGUCCAUUUGUUGCAUCUAUUCAAGCAACUAUCUGCAGAGGAGGACAGAUGACACAUACGUUGUUUAGAUAUUUGUAUUUAAAAUGAUGAAAAAAAUAAGAAAUUCCAAAUUUUAAUGUACCAAAUGUAAAUGUGUCAGCUACAACUAGUGGCUUCUCAGAUUAAGUCAUCACCCCUCCCCCCCUCCCCCCAAACUAUCUUUACUUAUUGAACUUGUGAAUGGAAGUAUCCCAUGUUUUGCUUGAAGCCUGCUCAAUACUUUUAGUCAGCAUUUAUCUUGCCGAUCUCUUGGGUGACUAAAUUAGUUUGCAGAUCAGUGGCGUGGCGUGCUUUGCGAUACAUAGGUUGAUUUGCCAUGUAAACUAUGGAAAAGUAUCGAUAAACAGGGUGUUCGCAGCGAACACCUUGAUAAUCGAUUAUUUACCACAGCUUCAAAAGGGGGAAAUAUCGAUAGAUCGAAAAGCACGCUACGCCCGCUGUUUGCAGUAUAGGAGGAUCAUGAGGAUUAGUUCGUCACGAUCAUUAGUAUCAGGUAUAUUUUGGUGGAUAAUCAUUUUUAGACGGUGACAAUGGAAUGGAAAGACAACAGCUAUUUUUCUGUAGCGCACGUGUCUAAAAAAAAUUUUUUUAAAAAAUUAAGCAGUUGUUUCUGAACUUGCGUUUAAAAUGGUGCUUUCGUUCUGUUUCAAACGAAAACGGAAUCGUCAAUAAUGAGGAUUCAUAAAAUGUUAAAUUUUUCAGCUCAUUCAAAUAAUUUUUGUGAAACUUUUAAAACCUGACAGUUUUUGUUUUAUGACACUUUUUGUAUGGUAAAAAUAAAAUUAAUCAUUGAUCCAGUUUGAUCUGCUGUAUUGAAACUGCAUGUUUGGGAAACGCAAUCAUAUGAGAUCAUUACCGGCCAUAUUCUUCCGCCGAACGCAUUUUAGGCGAGACAUAUAUGAAUUUUCAAUGUCAUUGUUAAACUUGAUUCAAAAUAGCGACUUAGAAAAAAAGUCUUGAUCCUUAUGUUUGCCAAGCAUUUUUGAAAUAAUAUAUUUUUGCCAAUUUUAAUAGCACACCUUCUUUUUUUAGAAUUUUUCGGUAUCAGGGUAAUGUACAAAUCAGACAGAAAAUAGAGCUUUCAGACCCUCUAACAGCCAUAGGCUCAACUUUAGCGCACCAUUUGGGCUUCAACUAAAAUCCGAGGUUGCAAUACAUUUUUCUCGUGUUCUCCGCAUUUAAGAUUCAGCCCUAGUUGCUUUCAACUUUUAGUAGGCUAUAGUUGUUAAAUAAAGACCGCACAAGCGUUAUGCAAUGCAGAAUUAAUGUCCAUAAAAAUUUAACAAAUAGCUCAAGUAUAGUAACGUUAUGAAAACCUUCUGGAAAACAAUGAUACAACUUAUAAAAAUAUUAAGUAAUACUUAUCUGGUAAUUUGGAUUUUUUGGUGCUUGUACCACCCUGGAUCCCUGUCUUUCUGAAUCAUGGCACCUAACUCUUAAACGAAAAGAGUUUCUUUAAGCAAAAAUUUGUGAUGUACUGUAUAGAUUUUUGCAUUGUAAGAUUGUAAAUAUUAAAUUGUAGUUAUAACAAAUACGGUAAUAUAAUUGUGUUACAAACUUCCCUUUACUAAGCUUUCUCCUUUCCGUUGCAUCGAGGUUACGAUGAACUUGAAGCCAUUUAAACUACGAUUUAUUGCUAGAAAAUUUUAGUGAAAUCAUUGUAAAGUGCAAAGGCAUUCCCUUCAAUUUGCAAAAUGUACUGUAGUUUUCCUUAAUAUGUAAUUAAAAAAACGAUUUUGAACUUGACGUGUUCAAGUUACGGGGUCGCCAGAGGUAAUCGUUUUGGAAAAGAUUAAUAUAUUUUAACAAUGCUCUUCGAAAAAAUUCCAAAAAUUAUUUUUUCAUAUAUCAGAAGAGUUGCCAGGAGGGAAAAAAAUUUCAGUUUGAGCUCAGUCGAAUGUCUUGAAAAAUUUUGCUCAAUAAGUACUUAUUCCCUCUAAAUGUGUGUAACGAAGUAAUGUGGUCCUACAAAUAAGAAAAGAUAAUUUACUCGGUAGAAAUCCACGCUUUACCCUUGGACGGAAAUAUAUUUUUAAACUACUCGCAUAAGUACCUAUUUUGAAAUGACCCGGUUAUGUGAAUUAUAACGUUACAGGAUUCACAGCGGCGCGGCGUACUUUGCGAUAUAUCGAUUGAUCUGCCGUUUAAACCUAUGGUAAAGGAUUGAUAAACAGGGUGUUCGCAACGAACACUCUAAUAAUCGAUUCUUUACCAUAGCUUCAAAUGGGGAAAGAUCGAUGAUCAAUUAUUCACGCCUCGCCACCGAGGAUUAAAUCCAUCAAGUGCUCCCUGUGAAUUAUGUUCUUUCAGCUAAGCUCCAUCCCGCAAACGGAUAUUAAUUAUCCCGGUAGUGCCACUGUUGCAGGUGCAAUAUAAGGCAAGUUUAGUCCUCAACUCUAAUUUUAAUAGUUUUUCUCCCCCUUGAAUAUGCAUUUAAUUGACGAACUGAGUAAUAUCAGUUCACGAAAUUUGCUCUAAUUUCGAAUCCGACGGAUGGUAAAUCUGUGACGUAUACCAGUGUUUAAUUUGCAAUCUCAUCUUAUGUAUAUUAUUGUAGGUUUCUGAUGUAAAAUUUUGUCUAGUAUUACAUUGACGCAUAAUGUGAAAAAAGUCUUGUUUGGAUAACAAAUUCAAUAUUAUUAAGCAUGUUAUAUUAUUUGUAACUAUGGAUGAAAUAAAGUGUUUUUUUUCUUUCAUACGAGCUAUUCCAUUGAGUCAUUCCCACCCUCCUCUGUACUUGGUAUUCCAGGUAACUCCAUCGGAUUGAGACGUAAAAUUCUUCGAUGUUUAAUCGAAAAUAGUAAAAAAUGUGAGUAAAGAUUCUGAAUA